AUACGCCCUACGGGGGAAAAAUUUAUUGCUAUUAGAUGAGCCUAUAUUAGAUUAGUUAGUUGGUGAGGUAAAGGCUUACCAAGACAAUGAUCUAUAGCUGAUCUGAGAGGAUGAUCAGCCACACUGGAACUGAGAUACGGUCCAGACUCCUACGGGAGGCAGCAGUGGGGAAUAUUGGACAAUGGGCGAAAGCCUGAUCCAGCCAUGCCGCAUGAGUGAAGAAGGCCUUCGGGUUGUAAAGCUCUUUUAGUGAGGAAGAUAAUGACGGUACUCACAGAAGAAGUCCUGGCUAACUCCGUGCCAGCAGCCGCGGUAAUACGGAGAGGGCUAGCGUUAUUCGGAAUCAUUGGGCGUAAAGGGCGCGUAGGCGGGUUAGUAAGUUAAAAGUGAAAUCCCAAGGCUCAACCUUGGAACUGCUUUUAAAACUGCUAGUCUAGAGAUUGAAAGAGGAUAGAGGAAUUCCUAGUGUAGAGAUGAAAUUCGUAAAUAUUAGGAGGAACACCAGUGGCGAAGGCGUCUAUCUGGUUCAAAUCUGACGCUGAGGCGCGAAGGCGUGGGGAGCAAACAGGAUUAGAUACCCUGGUAGUCCACGCUGUAAACGAUGAAUGUUAAAUAUGGGAAGUUUACUUUCUGUAUUAUAGCUAACGCGUUAAACAUUCCGCCUGGGGACUACGGUCGCAAGAUUAAAACUCAAAGGAAUUGACGGGGNNCCGCACAAGCGGUGGAGCAUGUGGUU
rnacentral:rRNA from 1 species